rnacentral:rRNA from 1 species
UACGUAGGGUGCGAACGUUAAUCGGAAUUACUGGGCGUAAAGCGUGCGCAGGCGGUCUGUUAAGACCGAUGUGAAAUCCCCGGGCUUAACCUGGGAACUGCAUUGGUGACUGGCAGGCUUUGAGUGUGGCAGAGGGAGGUAGAAUUCCACGUGUAGCAGUGAAAUGCGUAGAGAUGUGGAGGAAUACCGAUGGCGAAGGCAGCCUCCUGGGCCAACACUGACGCUCAUGCACGAAAGCGUGGGGAGCAAACAGG